rnacentral:tRNA from 2 species
UUUAAUUUGGCAGAAUAAUGCCUUUGAUUUAGGAUCAAAAAAUAUGAAAUAAUCAUAAUUAAUU